rnacentral:rRNA from 1 species
AACGAACGCUGGCGGCAUGCUUAACACAUGCAAGUUGAACGCAGGAUAAGGCUUCGGCCUUAUUGACUGAGUAGCAAACGGGUGAGUAACGCGUGGGAAUCUGCCUUUAUGUGGGGGAUAACUGAGGGAAACUUCAGCUAAUACCGCAUACGCUCUACGGAGGAAAGGCUUUAUUUUCAGUAAUUAAUCAUUAGGAAGAAAAAAUGGUGACAGGAACUCAGGGGAAACCCAGGGGAUGAAGUUGCCUGAGAUAAGGAAUUCCUAAU